GCGAAGGUGGCGGAAUUGGUAAACGCGCUAGCUUCAGGUGUUAGUGUUCUUACGGACGUGGGGGUUCAAGUCCCCCCCCUCGCACCA
rnacentral:tRNA from 1 species